AUACCUUUCUCGGCCUUUUGGCUAAGAUCAAGUGUAGUAUCUGUUCUUAUCAGUUUAAUAUCUGGUACGUGGGCCAUCGGUCCGCAUGAUAUUAACUCAACUUUUCUAGGGAGGAGGCCCGCUACGGUAGCUUGCUAUCGGGGCCUUCGAGCAUCGCCCAAGCAUUGCACUGCUGCACGGGCCUGGCGCACCCCAC